UCCCAAUGCAGCAUAUCUGGAGGCAUAUGCUGUUACUUGGCUCCAUUACUGGCCAGUGUUGACUUUGUUUGAGAAUCUACCAGGUCUGUCCAUGAUAAAGUGACUGUCUACCCUUUGUUUUUCACCAAUGUCUUAUGUGAGCAUAGUUUGAGGCUCUGUAAAUAUCUGGUUACUCUAAACAUCUCACCCACUAGAUUUAGCAUUUCAUUGAUUAUUUUUGUUGGGUCAAUUAUUAUUAUGGUGGUUGCCAAGUCAUGAUUGUCUUCAUCUUUCAUUCCUUCUACGUGGAUAAGUAAAACAAAACAAAACCAACCAACAAAUAGGGGAGAAGGGAAAAUUUAUUGUUUUGCUGUUCAGGUUCCCUCCGCUUUGACCAGUGGUAGCCAUUUCAAGCUGAGUUCAUGUCUUUUUGAACUGUCCUUAUUGUUCUUUGAAUACUUCCUUACUUUCUGGCAUAAGCUGUUUCAACCAUACUUUGUAUUUUCUCUGCCCCAGCCCUUGAAUCAGCCAUUUUCAUUUUUUUCCAGAAGCCCUGACUUUCUUUAGGGGACAGUAAUUAGAAACCAAUAUCUGGGCAGUAAUUGUGGUAGAUACGUAUGGCUAUUGGAGUUGUCAUUGCUCAUAGGCUUCCUCAGUGAACAGAGCAGAAAAAUACAGCUAGAUGGAUAAAUAUACAAACAUACAUGCUUAUAUUCAUCGAUAUUUCUAUAUUAGAAUAUACUGAAAACCAUGAGUUCUUCCUGGUGAUUCUAAUUCCAGUUGAAUCACACAUGGCUCAUUUUAGUUUUUUUUCCCUUUCAGUACUCUUGACCUUUGAACAAUGUGGAAGUUAGAGGGGCUGAACCCCACACAGCCGAAAAUUUGCCUAAAUUUUGACUUCCCUGUAAUGUAACUGCUGACUGACCUGAUUAACUAUUGUUGACCAGAAACCUUACCCAUAACAAAGUUGAUUAAUAUAUAUGCUGUAUAUUCUAUGUAUUAUACACUAUAUUCUUAUAAAAGUAAGCUAGAAUUGCCUUAGCUAUUCCAGCUGUUUUGGGGUUCGAUAUAAAUUUUAAAAUAGUUUAUCCUAAUUCUGUGAAGAAUGUCAUUGGUGGUUUGGUAGCUGACUUCAAACUAUACUACAAACCUGCAGUAACAGAAAUAGCAUGGUACUGUUACAACAGCAGACACAUAUACCAAUGGAACAGAAUAGAGAGCUAAGAAAUAAUGCAGCACACCUACAACCAUCCAACCUUCAACAACUCCACUUAAAAAAAGCAAUGGGGAAAGCAAUGGGACUGCUGGAUCAAAUGGCAAUUCUAAGUUCUUUGAGAAAUCGCCAAACUGCUUUCCGCAAUGACUAAACAAGUUUAAAUUCCCACCAGAAGUGCAUAAACGUCCCCUUUUCUCUACAACCUUGCCAGCUUCUGUUAGUUUUUGACCUUUUAAUAAUAGUCAUUCUGACUGGUGUGAGAUGGUGUCUCACUGUGGUUUUGAUUUGCAUUUCUCUAAUGAUUAGUGAGUUUGAGCUUUUUUUUCAUAGCCUUGUUGGCCACAUGUUAUGUCUUCUUUUGAAAAGUAUCUGUUCAUGUCCUUUGCCCACUUUUGAUGGGGUUGUUUGUUUUUUUUCUUGUAAAUUUAAGUUCCUUGCAGAUGCUGGAUAUUAGACCUUUGUCAGAUGGCUAGGUUGCAAAUAUUUUCUCCCUUUCUGUGAGCUGUUUACUCUGUUGAUAGUUUCUUUUGCCGUAAAGAAGCUCUUUAGUUUAAUUAGGUCCCAUUUGCCAAUUUUUGU
rnacentral:lncRNA from 10 species